AAAUGUUUGUUUUUUUUUUGUAAUCCAUGAUCGAAAUGUUUGUUUUUUUUUUUGUAAUCCAUGAUCGAAUUUUUUGUUUUUUGUUUUUUUUGUAACCCAUGAUAGAGUUUUUUGUAAUCCAUGAUUGAAUUUUUUGUAAUCCAUGAUCGAAUUGUUUUUUUCUUUUUUUGUAAUCCACGAUUGAAUUUUUUGUUUUUUUUUGUUUGUUUUUUUUUGGCAAUCCAUGAUCGAAUUUUAUGUAAUCCAUGAUCGAUUUUUAUGUAAUCCAUGAUCGAAUUUUUUGUAAUCCAUGAUUGAAUUUUUUGAAAAUUUGUGAUUUUUUUUUUUUAAUACAUGAUCGAAUUUUUUUUUGUAAUCCAUGAUAAAAUUUUUUGAAAAUUUGUGAUUUUUUUUUUUUAAUCCAUGAUCGAAUUUUUUUUUGUAAUCCGUGAUAGAAUUUUUUGAAAAUCUGUGAUUUUUUUUUUUAAUCCAUGAUUGUUUUUUUUGAAAAUUUGUUUUUU
rnacentral:lncRNA from 1 species